rnacentral:rRNA from 1 species
GUCUACGGCCAUGCUACCCUGAACGAGCCCGAUUCCGUCUGAUCUCGGAACCUAAGCAGGGUUGGGCCUGGUUAGUAUUUGGAUGGGAGACGACCUAGGAAGACCAGGUACUGUAGGCA